rnacentral:rRNA from 1 species
UACGUAGGGUGCGAGCGUUAACCGGAAUUACUGGGCGUAAAGCGUGCGCAGGCGGUUCGUUGUGUCGGCGGUGAAAGCCCCGGGCUUAACCUGGGAAUGGCCGUUGAAACUGGCGAACUGGAGUGUGGCAGAGGGGGGUGGAAUUCCGGCGUGUAGCAGUGAAAUGCGUAGAGAUGCGGAGGAACACCGAUGGCGAAGGCAGCCCCCUGGGCUAACACUGAUGCUCAGGCACGAAAGCGUGGGGAGCAAACAGG